rfam:Schistosoma rodhaini strain Burundi genome assembly, scaffold: SROB_scaffold0018355
AUCCAACUGACAAGUUCCAAAUAGGAUGAAACGCGCGUCCUGGAU